CAGGUGGCAUCCGAUAAAGAUGCCGAGCCACCUCCGCUGGCUCCUCUCGACGUGGAUUAGCAGUGGCUCUACUCUGAGCUCCUCCCAAGUGACAUAGCUCCUCACCCUAUCUCUAAGGGAGCGCCCUGCCACCCUACGGAGGAAACUAAUUUCAGCCGCUUGUAUCCAAGAUCUCGUUCUUUCGGUCAUGACCCAAAGUUCAUGACCAUAGGUGAGGGUAGGAACGUAGAUUCACUGGUAAAUCGAGAGCUUUGCCUUUCGGCUCAGCUCCUUCGUCACGUCACUACGACGGACCGAUACAAUGACUGCUUUACUGCUGCCGCCGCACCGACCAGUAUCUGUCAUUAACUAUUUCAUCGGAAAUUUCCCCAUACAGACCAUUAUAAGUCACAGAGCCUCUUAUCCAUGCAGCACAUCUAAGCAAGCUAGAAACAAUAACAACACAUGUCCCAUUUGCUGUAUGCCCUUUCCUUCUCCCUCUGCUCUGACUCCAAGUAACGUUGGCCUCUUGAAUACCACAUCUUUUGGUAAUAAGUUGUUUAUUAAUUGAUUUUAUUAUUUCUAAUGACCAAGACAUUUUAUAAUUACUGAGAUGUGGCUGUCCCCAGGGAAUACUGUUCUCCUGAUUGAAGCUACCAAGAACCAAGUGCUGCCUUGGUAUAGAAUGUUGCAGCUUGACUCAUUACUGGAACAAAAAGCCAUCAUACAGGCACAUUACCUCUGUGUUUGCCUCCCUUCAUUGGCGCCCUGUUAGAUUUCAACUUGAUUUGAAAAAUAAAAUUAUAUUGCUUGCUUUUAAGGUCUCAGAUGGUCUUGCCCCUCAAAACAUUUCUGAUUUGCUGACCUGGUAUGUGCCCUCUCCAUAAUUAAGAUCUGUGGAUGGAGCCCUGCUGGUUAGUCCCAGGUCUUGGUUUAUGACUAGGGGUGAUUGGGCUUUUGCUAUCAGAGCCCCUACACUAUGGAGCUCUGUCUACUGAACUCACACCCACAAUAACUUUCUGGCUUCUUUUAAAUCUCAUUUUAUAACUUUAGCUUGUGAAGACUUUUGGAAAUGCUUGAUAUAUGUUUUAUUUGUUCUCUAAUUAUUCCUAUUUCUUUGAUCUUAUUUACUUUAGUGAAGAUGACACCUCCAGUGGGACUGAAAAUGGACAAAAAAAGACACAAACAGGAUGGACUUUUCAAGCUAGCUGGAAAGUCAAAUUCCAGUGGAUAGCAUACGACCCUACAAAAAACAAGGCAACAGCCCAAAUUUCCAGCUGUACCACCUGGAGGGCCUCCACAGAUAGAACCAGGACUGUGAAGCUGCAUCCCUGGCAGUGAAGCCUUCCUGACUGCAUUCAGCUGCUCAGGGGACCUUGUUUACUGUGGCAACAUCUACAGUGUCAAGGUGCUUGGAAGGAAGCUCAUCCCCUCUUUUCAACCACCUUUGCAGGGGUUUGGAUGAGUGCAGUGUCCCAGGGAUGGACUGAGUGGAAAACCUGGCAGAGUUUUAGAUGGGACUGAGGACUGAAACUGGACAAACACUGAGCAACCAGCAGGCCACCACCAUCAUAGCCCUGUGACAGAACCUUCUGCCAUAUGACAAGCAGCAAGUGGCAUUCACUGCAUGGCAGGCACAACGUGCGGCUUACAACAGGAUGCUUCAGGUGUUGUGAAAAAGAAAUCUGAAUUUACACUAGACACUCUGUGUCUUAGGAUCAACAGGAUCCCCUGCCAAGUGGCCAGAUUGUUAUCGUCGGGGUCUAUCUUUGUCAAACUCUGUAACAUCCAUAAAAAUCGGCCAGUUAUGCCCUGACAAGAUGGACUCAGAUUCUCAGAGACUUCAGCAAGAUCGGGCAGCUGGUCCUGAGUAAUGGUACAGUCAUGCAGAACACUACUCUGCAGUUGUUUGAUGUGAAUCAAACUCAUUUAGUGGCACAGCAAGUGACUGAAGAGGCAGGAAUGCAGUAUUCUGCUGCAAGGGGUCAACUUGCCUGCUCUAUUCCUGUUGCUGCUGUGCCUCUUCCACCUGAAGAGAUACACCCCACAGACUGCUUGUUCUAUCACUUCAUUACUGUAAUUAUUUAAUUACCAUAGUAUAUAACAGGUCUGGUAUUUCAGAAAAAAUCAGCAUGAGAGAAUUAACUUACAGUAUAUACUGAGAAUUAUUGUGCGUGCCUGUCAAAGUAUGUUGAUAUUGUAUGUAUGAGAUAUAUAUAUAUUAUUAGUAGAGCAGCCUGGCUUUAUUUAUUAUAUUUUGUAUUCAGUUUAUUUAUUGUAUUUAUUAUAUUUAAUCAUUUCAAUAAUUUCUUUGUGUGUG